UACGUAGGGUGCGAGCGUUGUCCGGAAUUAUUGGGCGUAAAGGGCUCGUAGGCGGUUUGUCGCGUCGGGAGUGAAAACUCAGGGCUUAACCCUGAGCCUGCUUCCGAUACGGGCAGACUAGAGGUAUGCAGGGGAGAACGGAAUUCCUGGUGUAGCGGUGAAAUGCGCAGAUAUCUGGAGGAACACCGGUGGCGAAGGCGGCAUCCUGGACCGAGAUUGACGCUGAGGCGCGAAAGCUAGGGGAGCAAACGGG
rnacentral:rRNA from 1 species